GCCUGGGGGGAUGCUCCGGCGCCGUUUUGGUGCCGAUGGAGCCCCUCAUCGUGUCCUCGGGUCUGCGUGGUGAAGGGCCGGGCACCGCAGGUGGGGACGAUGCUGGCGAAAGCUGCCAGGCGCUCUCUCAUCAGCCGCGUAUCCCGCAGCCUCUCCCGAGACCCCCGGCUCCGCUCCCGCCCGUGCCACCCCUGGGCAGCAGCAGGGCAUCCUCGGAGCCCGGCCCCAGCUCCGGCCUCGCCGCAUCCCACCGCUCCUUCCCUGGAAAGCAGUGAACCUCUUUCCAUCUCCUGAACCACCUGGGGAGAUGCCCCGGGGCAGGGACAGGAGUGACUCAGGCAGAUGGGCCAAGGUGAGGAGGAGGAAAGUCUGCUCUUGGUGCAGGAUCUUGUGGCUCUCUCACCCAGGCAAUGGCCCCAGGGCCCCCGGAUCAUCUGGAGCAAGGGAAGGCUCCUGAGCAUCCGACAAAGCAAACUGAGUCCCUGAUGGUGAGGAAAGAGGAUGAAGUUGUCCUUGUCAGUGAGGAAUGGUCCCCAUCAUGGGACGGCCCCAUCCCGACGCUGAGCCCACGGUCCUGGUGUGCGCAGCCGUUUGCAUGGCACGGGCUGGGCUGGACCUGAGCGGCCACACGAAGCGGGUGGUUUUAGGAGGAGAUGGAGGCCCCCGACCAGCACGCGGCUGCCUUGGACACCACCAAGCUACCGCUGGAGCCUAAAGCCCGCAGGGAACCAUCCCUUGAAGCCCAUCCCUGGCAGGACAGGUAGGCUGCCUGCUCCAGCAUCUUCCUCUACACCCUGAUGAAGUGCAGGAGAUGGGAGCAGCUCUCCUCCGAGGUAGGCUUGGCACGUCAUGGGCAGGCACGUCCCCUGUGCCCCUCUCCCUCCCUGAAGCGGCUGUGAUGGUGGCUGAGCUCUUCCAGGAGAGGCUACAAGCACUAUACAAGGCGCUGCUGGCCUUGCUGGAGAAGGAAGAGCUAUCGAAGACCAGGAACCCAGAGCCAGAAAGGGCUGUCAAAAGGGCAGAGGAGGCGGCUGAGCAGAUGUCGGUGUAUAGCUGGGGGAACCUGGUGUCCCUGGUUCAAUCCCGCUUGUCCUGGGCACUGUCUUGGCACAGCCUGGACCGCGCUCUGCAGCACUGGGUUUUGCGGAGCUCAGCCUCUCCCAUCCCUAAUGCGCAUCUUUGUUUCAGCAACCCAAGGCUCCGGACCCAAGCGCAGACCGGCCCCCUGGAUGCUCUUCUAGCCUUUGUGUACUUCAGUUUGAAUUUCUGUGGGUAUCCGCACCAAAGGGAAGAGGAGCUUUUUGGAAACCUCUCUCUGCUGCCUCCUGCCCCGGCCCAGGUCCCCAGCAACACCAUGGUGCUCAACCUGGGGAAGCUGCUGGAGAAAGCGGAGGAGCCAGAUCUACCUGGAGAGCAAAACCCACGUGCUGGAUGUCAAGCUGGGGAGGGAUGUGCUGGGACAUGAGAUCCCCUCUUCGUGAGCUGUCAGUCACCUCUUCUCGACUCAUGGCUGCUUUCACGAGGAAUCAGCAGGAGAGAGCAAAGUCCCUGCCUGCCCAGAUGUCACACAGAGGGGUCAUGGGUGGUGGCAGGGUCCCUGUGAGCCUCUUCUGUCCCGGCCCUCUCCCUGCAGUGCUGGGCUUGAGCUGGCUCCCACCCCUGGGCAUGCAGAGCCAGGGCAGCUGUAGGGAUGUGCAAGGUUUGCUCCAAUCACUUGUUUGUGUUUAGAGGAAACCUCCUAGGUAGGAAAUCUUGCAGCCACAUGUGUAUCAGAGCUGAGGCAUGGGCCCUCUCGGUGCUCUGAGCUGGAUGCACAGUAGGGGGUCAGACUGGCUUGUUUAGGAUGGAAGGACCCAAACACGUGGCGCUGGCUGUGCCGCAGGCUGCCUGGCACCUGGGGGGAGCCCUGGGUUGCUGCUGUGCCUGCAGCAAGUUUCUUUGCUGCAAUUAUCAGCCCCACACCAUGCCAGCCCUGUAAUUGCUUUCCUACACAGCAGCGGCUCAUCCCAGGACAUGGAGGGUAGCAGGGAGGGCCCCUGCAUACGCUGAAAGGUGCCACCUCGGGCUUGAAGUCACUGUAUGCGACUCUAAAAUUGCAUUUCUUGUGCUUUGCUGAAGCUGUUUCCUUUCUGCGUCUCUUCAGGCGCUCUUUUAUCCCUCUUUUUGUCUUUCCCACCCCCCCCCUCCAGCCCUGUAAUACCUUUCUUAAAAUUAAAGUAAGGGUCGUGCUGCAGGCGGGGGCCCGGCAGUGGCUGGCAGGCGGCGGCAGGGGGCGGCAGCAGCUCGCCGUUGGCACCGCGCACCCCCUUGGACGCAAACCCCGGACGCAGCCCCUGGCCCGGCGCUGCUCUGCCAAAAACUUUAUUGGAGAAGAGCGGCGGAGCCCCCCCCGUCCCUCCCCAGACACCGAGGGGCGGCUACGGCCGACUCUGGCUGUGGAGCCCCCCUCCCCAGCCCCUCAUUUUUCUCUGGGUUUGCUCCUGGCUCAGUUGCAUUUCCCUUUUGCAUCACCCUGCCUUCCUGGGCUCCCCACCCAGACCCCUCGGUGAGCACCCACAGCUGUGCAGAUGUGCACCCCCCCAUCCCCAGCUGUGGGGCAGAUGCACUUUGCGCUGUUAAUGCUUAAAAUGGGGUGGAUUCCGAGUGCAGCAACGCUUAAUGCUUGGUGGGGGAAGUGCAGCCCUUUCAUCACCCCAUCCUGAUGCCUCCAAAAAGGGAAUUUGUAUACUUUUACCUUCCCCCGGGGGAGCUACUGGGCUCCUAAGGCACAAAAUGAACGGCCCAGCAGCAGGAGCAACCCUGUCCCCCUGCUGGAAAAGCAAGGAGCCUGGGCCCGAUCCGGAGCUGGGAUGGGUGCGGGGAGUGCUGAGGCAGGCCAGGCCAACACAGCACUGUGAAGGUGCAGAAUUUGAGCUGGGGCAAGGGAACGGCCACCAGCCCCCAGCCCGCUCUCCAUUUUUUCAGCUCAUUGGCAUGGCUUACGUCCCUCCUCUACUGCAAACCCCUUUUUAAGGCAAACCCUAAAAGGCAGCCGGGGCAGAGACAAUCCAGAUGCUGCCUUUGGAAAACAGCUGGCUGGGGAGGGGGGAGGCCUGCUGUGUCCCCCACCCUGGCUCCAGGCAAUACCUUGUCCUGGCAGGAGGGCAGAGCCAUGGGGGUAAAGGGAGCAGCCAGUGGCUAAAGCCCCUGAAUCCAUCCCCAGGAGGGAGAAGGUGGGGAGUAGCCUGGCUGUGCAAGCUG